rnacentral:tRNA from 1 species
UCCCUUGUGACUCAGCUGGUAAAGAAUCCACCUGCAAUGUGGGAGACCUGGGUUCGAUCCUUGGCUUGGGAA